rnacentral:lncRNA from 1 species
UCGCAGGGCAUUUGCUCACCCAGCCAACAAUAUUUCCUCAGUGUCCACCGCGUUGCAGGCAUUGUUUUAGGUGCUGAAGAUGCGGUAGUGCACAGUGCACAUGCCAGGGAGGGAAGACGAAACGAAUCAGUCCACAAGUAAACAGGAAAAUGAACGCCGCCACUCAGACAAUGAAUAAAACAGGAUGUGGGAAGGAGCGACCCGGGUCCCUUUGGCAGAUGGCUGUGGCCUCACUGCCAAGGUGAGAUUGGAGCUGAGAAGUGAAGGAUGAAUAAGAAUCAGCCUGCAAAAGAUGUGGCAGGGAGGGCUGGACUUACCGCUCAGACGCAGGCCGAGCAAAGCUGCCGAGAAGAAAUUCCGCGUCUUCCAGGACUGGAAAGAAACAGCCCUCAGCGUCUCCACCUGAAAACACCCAGCCAGGUGUGUGGUGUUUCCACUAAGCCCACUGUUCUCUCAGGAGCUCCAGGUGGAAGACUUCACCAUCCUUCCGUGGAGAGAUAGAAGUGGACGGCACCAUUUGGAAAAGAACUCAGCACCUUAUCUUUGCCUGGAUUGCUUAAACAGCUAAAACAGCCUUUUAAAGAAGCAUAAUAUUGAAAACAAUCGUCCUAGUUCCCAUGUCUUAGACAUCCUCGUAAAUAUCUGCUGGGCAUGACCUCCUCUUCACAUGCCCCUUUCGGAGAGGGACUGAAACCUCCCCUUUCACAAAGAAGGAACAGCAGGCGGCAAACAGCAGAGCUGGGAUUUGAACUCAGGUCUCCCCAGCUGCAGGGAGGCAGGGCCAUUAACUUUAUACGGAAAGAUAUGCAUUUUAAAAUUGAAAACAAAGUAUGCAAAGAACUCAUGGAAAACCAGAGAGGAAACAAGGAGAUGACACGGAACAGCAAAAGAAGGACAGAUAAUAGAAAAUGCAAAAUCAGAAAAUAAAAAGUCUAUUUUAUUUUAUGUUGAACUUGGGUUUUUUGCAGUCUAAGUGGCAGGAGCAAUUCCUCCUUCUUUUUGCUAAUGAGACUUCUCUCCGCUGGCAGUUGGAGGCAUUGCUUUGGACGCCACAUUUGACAACCCCUCGCUGGCCUUCCGGCCUCCACUCUGGCCCCUGCAGACCACCCUCCCCGGCUGCCAGGACAUCCUCCUAGAAUGCAAACGUGGCCCCGCCACUUCCCACUGCACAUUUCUCAAUGGUGCCCACUGUCAGCUAGGUCAAGUCCCAGCAGGCCCCAGGCAACCUCUGCAGCCUCUCACCCCCCAUCCCUCCCUGCGAGGAGCCCCCUUCGGUCUCUGCUGGACGUGAGGUUUACUCUCCCACGCACCCCUCUAGAAUCCCCCUGCCCUGACCCCUCUUCUCCAACUCAGGAAAUUCUUGGGCUCCUUGGAGGGUCGCUGUAACAUCGAUAGCUUAUUCUUUGCCACUGUAACGGCGUUCCCAGGUCUGUGAUUGGCUGCGCAUGAAUCUGUCCUCUCCGUUACUUCCAGAGCUCCGUGAGAGCAGGGCCAGUAUCCUGUUCAUCUGUCUCUCUGGUGCCUCAUUGGAAAAGAGCAUGGGAGAGGCCAAAAAAUGAAAAAAAAAAUGACAGAACAGCUUGGUAAGAUAUCUCUUAUGGGGGUACAGGAUCUGGGAGAAGUGCAUAAAGAGUUACCAACCAAGUGUGUGGGAUGGGCAGGUCAGGGAAGGCUUCCUGGAGGAGGCGGUGGGCAAGCUAAAGGUUGGGCUGGAGCCAGUCAAUGUGGCGGAGAAAAGAAAUUGAGGCAGGGUUGAGGGUUCGGAGAGGCGAGGAACUCUGCCUCUGUGAGCAUGAGUUAGAGGAUGGUGAGAGAUGGCCUUGGAUAGGUAGAUAAUGGUCUGGAGCCCCUGUUAUAAGCUUUAGGCUUCACGGUGAGAGGAGCAGGGAUGCCUACAGGUUGUUUUCUUACAAGGAAGGAGUGGUGUGUGGUUGGGUUUCCAUUUCAGAAAGGUCACUCUGACCACAGAGGGGAGGAUAGAUUAGGAAGAGAGGUGGCUGGCUGUCAUGUUUGGUUGUAUAGGUUGGGCACUGCACAACUUUAGGGGUAAGAUUUUCCCCUCUCUGGUGGCCUGGGUACGUGAGAGUGGCUGACAUCAUCUGAUGGCAGAGACUCUCAUUGGACAGUUGUUAUGGGAAGUUAGCAACUGAUGCUGGGCAUGGCAACAAGCGGAGUGCUAUGGACACAGAGAAAGGGACAUGUUGGUUCAGAGAGACUCACAGAUGCAUCAACAAGGGCUCUGAUCCUGCAGCUUUGAAUGAGGCCUGGGGUGCAACCUGUUUGCGAGCUGGGUACCUAAGGGUGGCAUCUAUGGACCACCUAGAGGUGGAUUUAUCAUGAAGCCAAUGCAACUGAAGCUUCAGGACAUGAAUUUGCAUAGUCCUCUUCCAAUAUGUCACCAAGGUCAUAUGUUUUUGUGAAAUUUGCAAGAUACUUUCAUCACAGUUGGCUAAGACAGCUGUCUCCUCCUGCUCUGACUUGCCCUCCAUCACCUCUGCUGGUGGCAUGGGAGGGGCCAUGAUUUGGCUAAGGGGAGGCUGAUACCUGGAUCCUGGGCUGUGAGCAGUAGACUGGCAUCAGCAGCAUUGCUGGUGCCAUCAGGAUACAGACACCAGGUGUGGUGGCUUCCAGCAUGUUCCUCCUGCCCCUCUGUCAACUUCCCUGUAUCAUGACAUGGAGGUGCAGAGACAAGGGUGGAACAGUGAAGCCACCACGCCCAGUGAUGCCGGCAAGAACACGAGCAGGCGAGCAUGGAAAAGGUUGGAAUCUGCAGAGCCUGGUCUGUGGAAAAUUCCUCCAAACAGAUACACAUGGCUGUAAACGUAGGACUCGAUUCUCUUGGACUCAGUGAAAAUGGCAAUUCAUUCCCAUCAGGAGUACCCUCAGCAAUGCAGUGUGUAGGAUGAUAAGUGUGCCACAGCUCGUAAAAAUCACUUUGGUGGGAAUGGUAUGUUUGAUCAAGCUUGAGUAUCCCACUAUAGUUGGAACUUAGAAAGGGAUUAUGGAAUAUUCGAAUAAAGAAAGUGAGAAAUCGCAGACUCCUAAUUUAGAUGUAUUUGAAGGGUACCUUCUUUUAUCUUAAAUUUGUUUGUUAAAAAACAAUGGAUGACUUGAGUAAUAUGAAACAAAAGAGAUGAACAUGAAGCAUGGCACAGAUCUUCCGACAUUGAGAAGCGAAUUACAACUGAAAAUGUCCACAUCAUAACAGAAGCAGAAGUUCAUUAAGAAGAG